GAUCAUGGCUCAGGAUGAACGCUAGCUACAGGCUUAACACAUGCAAGUCGGGGGGCAUCGGGAAGAAAGCUUGCUUUCUUUGCCGGCGACCGGCGCACGGGUGAGUAACACGUAUCCAACCUGCCCUUUACUCGGGGAUAGCCUUUCGAAAGAAAGAUUAAUACCCGAUGGCAUAAUGAUUCCGCAUGGUUUCAUUAUUAAAGGAUUCCGGUAAAGGAUGGGGAUGCGUUCCAUUAGGUUGUUGGUGAGGUAACGGCU
rnacentral:rRNA from 1 species